rnacentral:rRNA from 1 species
AGGACGAACGCUGGCGGCGUGCUUAACACAUGCAAGUCGAGCGGAAAGGCCCUUCGGGGUACUCGAGCGGCGAACGGGUGAGUAACACGUGAGUAAUCUGCCCCUAGCUCUGGGAUAGCUCCGGGAAAACCGGGAUUAAUACCGGAUACGACCACUUUAGACAUCUGUUGUGGUGGAAAGAAUUUUGGCUAGGGAUGAGCUCGCGGCCUAUCAGCUUGUUGGUGGGGUAAUGGCCUACCAAGGCGACGACGGGUAGCCGGCCUGAGAGGGCGACCGGCCACACUGGGACUGAGACACGGCCCAGACUCCUACGGGAGGCAGCAGUGGGGAAUAUUGCGCAAUGGGCGAAAGCCUGACGCAGCGACGCCGCGUGGGGGAUGAAGGCCUUCGGGUUGUAAACCCCUUUCAGCAGGGACGAAGCGAAAGUGACGGUACCUGCAGAAGAAGCGCCGGCUAACUACGCGCCAGCAGCCGC